rnacentral:lncRNA from 1 species
UUUAUUCAUUUAUUUGGGUCUCGAAGUCAAAGUUGUAUUUUAAUACAGGUGAGGCGGAUUUUGACCUCAAUGGUUCGAAAACUAUCUUAGAACAGGUUGUGGACCGAAAGCCCAAUAUUUAGAUUAAGACAGGUGAAAGUGGGCCAAAAGCCCAAUUAGAAUAGGACAAGGUCUAUUUAUUUGGGCCCAAUGGCCUAAGUCUUUUAUUU